UCGCGGCGGAACGGAAGUCGGCGGUGUGAGCGUUUAGCCGCGGAACGCUGAGUCGGCAUCCCGCGGGCCUAGGGGAGCUUCUGUCGCCGGGCGCUCGGGUUGCGGGAGACUUUGGGCUGCUGAUUUAGUGCCAUGCAUCCUUUACAGUGUGUCCUGCAAACACAGAGGUGGGGGCCCUUGGCUUCUGUGUCCUGGCUGCUGCUCAGGACCUGCAGGGCACUUAGUAGUCUCCCCAGCACUGCAUAUCCCAGUCCAGAGAAGCAGCAGGAAGAUGGAGUUCAGAAGGAUUUCAGCUCCAGGCUGGCCACUGGGCCAACUUUUCAGCAUUUUUUAAGAAAUGCUUCAGCUCCUCAAGAGAAGCCAGACAUGGAGGACCCACCCCCCUAUGUCACAGUGGAAGAACUUUUAGGGAGGCAGAGAAAAGUCUAUCUGGAGACCUAUGGCUGCCAGAUGAAUGUGAAUGACACAGAGAUAGCCUGGUCUGUCUUACAGAAGAGUGGCUACUUGCGGACCAGGAACCUCCAAGAGGCUGAUGUGAUCCUCCUUGUCACAUGUUCCAUCAGGGAGAAGGCAGAGCAGACCAUCUGGAAUCGUUUACAACAGCUUAAAGCCCUGAAGACAAAACGGCUCCGCUCCCGAGUACCUCUGAGGAUUGGGAUUCUAGGCUGUAUGGCUGAGAGAUUGAAGGAGGAGAUUCUCAACAGGGAGAAAAUGGUGGAUAUUUUGGCAGGUCCAGAUGCCUAUCGGGACCUUCCUCGACUGCUGGCUGUUGCUGAGUCAGGCCAACAAGCUGCCAACGUGCUGCUCUCUCUGGAUGAGACUUAUGCUGAUGUCAUGCCAGUCCAGACAAGCCCUAGUGCUACUUCUGCUUUCGUGUCUAUUAUGCGAGGCUGUGACAACAUGUGCAGCUACUGCAUUGUUCCUUUCACACGUGGCCGGGAGAGGAGUCGACCUGUUGCUUCCAUUCUAGAGGAAGUGAGGAAGCUUUCAGAACAGGGACUGAAAGAAGUGACACUUCUUGGUCAGAAUGUUAAUAGUUUUCAGGACAGUUCAGAGGUCCAGUUCAACAAUGCAGUAUCUACUAACCUUAGCCGUGGCUUUUCUACCAACUAUAAACCCAAGAAAGGGGGCCUUCGCUUCGCUUACCUUCUGGAUCAGGUCUCCAGAGUAGAUCCUGAAAUGAGGAUCCGUUUCACCUCUCCCCACCCCAAAGACUUUCCUGAUGAGGUUCUACAGCUGAUUCAUGAGAGAGACAACAUCUGUAAACAGAUCCACCUACCAGCCCAGAGUGGAAGCAGCCGUGUAUUGGAGACCAUGAGGAGGGGAUAUUCAAGAGAAGCUUAUGUGGAGUUAAUUCAUCAUAUUAGAGAAUCUAUUCCAGGUGUGAGCCUCAGCAGCGAUUUCAUUGCUGGCUUUUGUGGUGAGACAGAGGAAGAUCACCUCCAGACAGUGUCUUUGCUUCGGGAAGUUCAGUACAACAUGGGCUUCCUUUUUGCUUACAGUAUGAGACAGAAGACCCGGGCGUAUCACAGAUUGAAAGAUGAUGUUCCAGAAGAGGUAAAAUUAAGACGUUUGGAGGAACUUAUUACUGUCUUUCGAGAAGAAGCAACAAAAGCCAACAUGGCCUCUGUGGGUUCUACCCAGCUGGUGUUGGUGGAGGGGCACAGUAAACGCUCUGCCACUGAUCUGUGUGGCCGGAAUGAUGGAAACCUUAAAGUGAUCUUCCCCGAUGUAGAGAUGGAGGACAUUAAUAAUUCUGACGUCAGGGUCAGAGCUCAGCCUGGGGACUAUGUGCUGGUGAAGAUCACGUCUACCAGCUCUCAGACACUUAAAGGACAUGUUCUCUGCAGGACCACCCUGAAGGGCUCCUCAGCAUAUUGCUGACCUGAGUGGAUGGUGUUAGAGUUGACAUGGGCUGUCCUUCCCAACAGGAAGGGAGAUAUGACUGGUCACUAAUGAAAGAGGUAGAACCUCUGGAGACAAACUGCAAGUGAAGCAAAUGAAUACCUCACAUGUGGAUAAACCCACUCCCUUGCUCAUACUGUGACUAUGGCACAGCUGAGAUUUGGAGGACUGAAGUGGCCCCUUGUGAGCACUGCAGUGGAUGAGAAUGAUGACAGCAGUAGACCUACUCAGCCUCUGUAGGAGUCUGUGGGGAGUUGUGGGGUUGUGGAGACUGGAGAGUAGAAACACCUCUUGUAAAGGAGGAAGCAUGGCUCCUCUCUAGCAGAUUGGCCCUACUUAGGGCUGUAAGAUGUAGUGCAACGUAGGACUACCAGACCUCUGAUUGUCUAAGAGAAGCCACAAAUCCUCAUUUUUCAGGUGAAUUCCCCCAUUUAAAUGUCCUUCACAUAGCAUAUGUUUCAUGAGUUCGGGGAUGUCUCUAGUCCUCCCCCGGAAUCUAUUGUAAGCACACAGAACACUUACACAGUAUGAGAUGAAAAGACCUCGUGUAGAAAUCCUGGAACUUUUAACAUCGUACUUGAACAAGCCAGUAGCUGCAGGUGAGAGGAGAGAGAGCUAUAGAGACCCCUGCAACCCUUGGGCUCUUGGUGGCCCUGCCCUCCAGAUGGGGGAUCAGUUGGACACCCUCCUCUUUCUAGGUCCCAGGCAGGAAGCUGGUGUCUUACUGACUUUUCCAUAUUUCUGGGAGGAGGCUUCAGGGAAGAAGAAAACAUGGGGGCCCUAUCCUCAUUGUGCCAAAACCUCAAGUGAGAGGAAUAGACUUGUUGCCCAGGCUCCAGAUUCAUCUACUCUGGGAUUUGGGAAAUGUUACCAGCUUCCCUGCUUUGGCUGUGUUGGUAGUCACUGUCCACUGUAUCCUAUCAUUCCUGUCUUCUGUAUGUGUUUGGGUAUGGGAGGGAAUUUUUGCUUCUCAGCUUCUCCGGCAUGAGGACUGGGAAUGCUCUUUGCUCUGACUCUGCACAUGUGUGUAUUUUGCAAACCAUUUGGGAGGCGGGGCUGCCACAGAGACCUCUUUGCCCUGCUCUGUCCUGGAGGAUGAGUCACUGUGGUUUAGAGAAGCAGGUAAGUUGCCUUAUUUUCUGCCCUGAGGGUACUGAGGUUUGAAUGCUUGAAGGUACAUGGUAUUGGAGCUCAUAGCCCCAUACUCCCUGGUCUGUCAUCUGGUGGGAUCCCAGAGGAGCCCUCCAUCGACCUGUCAGCCCCAGGGAGGUCUGGUUGUACUCACAGUUCUUGCAUUCGUUGAAAUCACUGAAAUCAAUGUUACACGAUUCCGAUUCUUGAAACUGUGAAAUCACCACGAGUUAGCUUUGCCAAAGGAGUGCAGCAGGCCUGUCCUCCUCCUCCUCAGCCCAGCUCCUUUUCCCCUUUUCCCCAUCCUCUUCUCUCUGUUCUAUUUCUUAGAUUUCUCCCUCUCCCAGCCUGAGGCCUUAUUCUCUUGUGCUGCUGGGGUCUUUUGGGCCAGAAGGGUUGAUAUGUCCUUCUUGAGUCUCUCCCAGCAUCAGACAAUAUCUGAGAAAGGGGCUCCUCUCUGUCCUCCCCCGGUGACCUAGACCUCUGAGGUGGUGUUCUCCUUUUUCCCAGGACUUACAUUUUCUUUCAUAGCUACUGUCAACACUUGAGAAAUGAUGUUGUCCAAAGGCAGAGGCACAGGGAGAGGGAAAGUAUUUGUGAGCCUGGGAAAGAUAUGUGAAGAACCAUGUAAUUCUUGCAUUUCUGGAUUUUGCCCAGAUUUUGGGAAAAACCCAUUUUUUUGAUGAAAUAGUUUCGUGAUGUCCUGCUUCUUAAUUCAUGCAAGCACCUGAGCCCUUUUGUCUACAGUUUCAGUCAUUAAGGAAGAUGCAAGGAUGCCUGGGAAAACUGCCAAUGCCUGACAUCUGACCCAGCAAUCCCAUGCAGAGAUAUUUGUGCUUCAGGUACUUGUUAAUGAUAGUGAACAGACUUGUCUGGGACUUUACUAGUUGGAGUUGGAUACAAAAGUUAUUAAUUGAUGGGACACCUGGGUAGCUCAGUGGUUGAGCGUCUGCCUUCAGCUCAGGUCGUGAUCCUGGAGUCCAGGGAUCGAGUCCCACAUUGGGUUUCCUGCAUGGAGCCCGUUUCUCCCUCUGCCUAUGUCUCUGCCUCUCUUUGUGUCUCUCAUGAAUAAAUAAAUAAAAAUAAAAAAGUUAUUAAUUGAAAAAUGCAACUCUUCCUUGAUAAGGGACUGUUAAGUUUAGUGCAUCUUCAUAGUGGAAUACUAAGCCAUAAAAAAUGAAGAAGCAGACAACCUGGGUGGCUCAGUGGUUUAGUGCCACCUUCGGUCCAGGGCGUGAUCCUGGAGACCUGGGAUCGAGUCCCACGUGAGGUUCCCUGCAUGGAGCCU